rnacentral:tRNA from 1 species
GGGCUCAGUGGUGGAGCAUCUGCCUUGAAUUCAGAAGGUCCCGGGUUCAAUCCUAGGCA